rnacentral:rRNA from 1 species
CGGACGGGUGGGUAAUGUCUGGGAAACUGCCUGAUGAGGGGGAGUAACUACUGGAAACGGUAGCUAAUACCGCAUAACGUCGCAAGACCAAAGAGGGGGACCUUCGGGCCUCUUGCCAUCGGAUGUGCCCAGAUGGGAUUAGCUAGUAGGUGGGGUAACGGCUCACCUAGGCGACGAUCCCUAGCUGGUCUGAGAGGAUGACCAGCCACACUGGAACUGAGACACGGUCCAG